UACGGAGGGUGCAAGCGUUACUCGGAAUCACUGGGCGUAAAGCGCGCGCAGGCGGCUUUGUAAGUUGGAUGUGAAAUCCUAUGGCUCAACCAUAGAACUGCAUCCAAAACUACUUAGCUAGAGUCUGGGAGGGGAAGAUGGAAUUAGUGGUGUAGGGGUAAAAUCCGUAGAGAUCACUAGGAAUACCAAAAGCGAAGGCGAUCUUCUGGAACAGAACUGACGCUGAGGCGCGAAAGCGUGGGGAGCAAACAGGAUUAGAUACCCUGGUAGUCCACGCCCUAAACGAUGAAUGUUAGUCGUCGGGUAGCUAGUCUAUUCGGUGAUGCAGUUAACACAUUAAACAUUCCGCCUGGGGAGUACGGUCGCAAGAUUAAAACUCAAAGGAAUAGACGGGGACCCGCACAAGUGGUGGAGCAUGUGGUUUAAUUCGAAGAUACGCGAAGAACCUUACCUGGCCUUGACAUUGAUAGAAUCUGCUAGAGAUAGCGGAGUGCCUUUCGGGGAGCUUGAAAACAGGUGCUGCACGGCUGUCGUCAGCUCGUGUCGUGAGAUGUUGGGUUAAGUCCCGCAACGAGCGCAACCCUCGUUCUUAGUUACUAACGGUUCGGCCGAGGACUCUAAGAAGACUGCCUUCGCAAGGAGGAGGAAGGUGAGGACGACGUCAAGUCAUCAUGGCCCUUACGGCCAGGGCAACACACGUGCUACAAUGGGUAGGACAAUGAGACGCGAUACCGCGAGGUGGAGCAAAUCUAUAAACCUAUUCUCAGUUCGGAUUGUAGUCUGCAACUCGACUACAUGAAGCUGGAAUCACUAGUAAUCGUAGAUCAGCUAUGCUACGGUGAAUACGUUCCCGGGUCU
rnacentral:rRNA from 1 species